rnacentral:rRNA from 1 species
AAUAAGCUAUUUAAGAGCGUAAGGUGGAUGCCUUGGCUCUCAGAGGCGAUGAAGGACGUGAUAAGCUGCGAUAAGCUACGGGGAUUGGCACACACAAUUUGAUCCGUAGAUUUCCGAAUGGGGCAACCCACUAUAUUGAAGAUAUAGUAUCCGUUAAGGAAGCAAACCCAGGGAACUGAAACAUCUAAGUACCUGGAGGAAUAGAAAACAAAAGUGAUUCCGCUAGUAGUGGCGAGCGAACGCGGAACAGCCCAAACCAAAAUUGUUUCGGCAAUUUUGGGGUUGUAGGA